UACGGAAGGUGCGAGCGUUAAUCGGAAUUACUGGGCGUAAAGCGCGCGUAGGCGGCUAGGUAAGCCGGUUGUGAAAGCCCCGGGCUCAACCUGGGAAUGGCAUCCGGAACUGUUUAGCUAGAGUGCAGAAGAGGAAGGUAGAAUUCCCGGUGUAGCGGUGAAAUGCGUAGAGAUCGGGAGGAAUACCAGUGGCGAAGGCGGCCUUCUGGUCUGACACUGACGCUGAGGUACGAAAGCAUGGAGAGCAAACAGG
rnacentral:misc_RNA from 1 species